rnacentral:tRNA from 1 species
GGGGAGAAUGGGGAUGGUCCCCCCGCGGGCCGCAAACCCGUUGGCCUGCCCGUAACCAGGGUGGGAGUCCGGUUCGAUUCCGACUUCUCCCCUCCA